rnacentral:rRNA from 1 species
UACAGAGGGGGCAAGCGUUGUUCGGAAUUACUGGGCGUAAAGGGCGCGUAGGCGGCCUUCUAAGUCAGACGUGAAAUCCCCAAGCUUAACUUGGGAACUGCAUCCGAUACUGGAUGGCUUGAAUCCGGGAGAGGGAUGCAGAAUUCCAGGUGUAGCGGUGAAAUGCGUAGAUAUCUGGAGGAAUACCGGUGGCGAAGGCGGCAUCCUGGACCGGCAUUGACGCUGAGGAGCGAAAGCUAGGGGAGCAAACGGG